CUGCCAUCGCUCUGUCUCUCUGCCUGGCUUUGCUCAUGACAGGGGUUUGCUGUCACAACAACUUUGUUUCCAAACUGACUUCUAAAGAACGUGACGAACACAUCUCCAGGAGAUCCUGUAGAAUUCAACCAAUCAGGUGCCUCCCAAGCAGUUGCCCAGUUCAUGGAAGAGUCCAUGAGCCAGAGACUCCAGUGGCAGCACCACUAACAACACACUCAUGAAGAGUCCAUUAGUGACCUGCGGAGAGGAACCCUCAGUGAUCAACAACUUUCAAAGCCCUGCCGACCUUUCUUACAUCGUCCAACAUGAGGUUGUUGGGAAUUGAGAGAGUUGAUCAUCAAGUUUGUCACCUGUCUUCUACUUUUAAUUGGUGAGUAUAAUCAUCCUGUUGAAAAAGCAUCCUGUUUUUUGUCUCGUGGACUGGUUUAACAGUUGUAGAGAAGUUUUCGUCAUUUUUGAU